GAUGAACGCUGGCGGCAGGCCUAAUACAUGCAAGUCGAACGAGUGGCGGACGGGUGAGUAAUGUCUGGGAAACUGCCUGAUGGAGGGGGAUAACUACUGGAAACGGUAGCUAAUACCGCAUACCAUCGGAUGUGCCCAGAUGGGAUUAGCUUGUGGGUGGGGUAACGGCUCACCUAGGCGACGAUCCCUAGCUGGUCUGAGAGGAUGACCAGCCACACUGGAACUGAGCAACGGGGCAGACUCCUACGGGAGGCAGCAGUGGGGAAUAUUGCACAAUGGGCUCAAGCCUGAUGCAGCCAGGCCGCGUGUAUGAAGAAGGCCGUCGGGUUGUAAAGUACUUUCAGCGGGGAGGCGUUACCCGCAGAAGAAGCACCGGCUAACUCCGUGCCAGCCGCCGCGGUAAUUC
rnacentral:rRNA from 1 species